rnacentral:rRNA from 1 species
AUGGGGACUCGUCUCUCCUUUAGCACCGCUUUCCACCCUCAGUCGAGUGGUCAAGUGGAACGCGUCAACCAGAUUCUAGAAGACAUGCUUCGAGCCUCUGUUAUCUCAUUCGGAAUGGACUGGGAGAAGUGCCUUCCAUUUGCCGAAUUCGCUUACAACAACAGCUAUCAAUCUAGCUUGGGUAAAGCCCCUUUUGAAGUUCUCUAUGGACGACGGUGUCGAACACCCCUUAACUGGUCAGAGACCGGGGAAAGACAAUUCUUUGGCCCGGAUAUGAUUCAGGAAGCAGAAGAACAAGUUCGUAUCGUUCGUGAAAAGUUGAAAACAGCCCAAUCCCGUCAAAAGAGUCAAUAUGACUGA